AUUGAACGCUGGCGGCAGGCCUAACACAUGCAAGUCGAACGGAGUGGCGGACGGGUGAGUAAUGUCUGGGAAACUGCCCGAUGGAGGGGGAUAACUACUGGAAACGGUAGCUAAUACCGCAUACUAUCAGAUGAGCCUAGGUCGGAUUAGCUAGUUGGUGGGGUAAAGGCCUACCAAGGCGACGAUCCGUAACUGGUCUGAGAGGAUGAUCAGUCACACUGGAACUGAGACACGGUCCAGACUCCUACGGGAGGCAGCAGUGGGGAAUAUUGGACAAUGGGCGAAAGCCUGAUCCAGCCAUGCCGCGUGUGUGAAGAAGGUCUUCGGAUUGUAAAGCACUUUAAGUUGGGAGGCGUUACCAACAGAAUAAGCACCGGCUAACUUCGUGCCAGCAGCCGCGGUAAUAC
rnacentral:rRNA from 1 species